rnacentral:rRNA from 1 species
GUGGGGAAUUUUGGACAAUGGGCGCAAGCCUGAUCCAGCAAUGCCGCGUGUGUGAAGAAGGCCUUCGGGUUGUAAAGCACUUUUGUCCGGAAAGAAAUCUCCUGGGUUAAUACCUCGGGGGGAUGACGGUACCGGAAGAAUAAGCACCGGCUAACUACGUGCCAGCAGCCGCGGUAAUACGUAGGGUGCGAGCGUUAAUCGGAAUUACUGGGCGUAAAGCGUGCGCAGGCGGCUCUGCAAGACAGAUGUGAAAGCCCCGGGCUCAACCUGGGAACUGCAUUUGUGACUGCAAGGCUAGAGUGCGUCAGAGGGAGGUGGAAUUCCGCGUGUAGCAGUGAAAUGCGUAGAGAUGCGGAGGAACACCGAUGGCGAAGGCAGCCUCCUGAGAUGACACUGACGCUCAUGCACGAAAGCGUGGGGAGCAAACAGGAUUAGAUACCCUUGUAGUCC